UGAAAACCAGAGGAGCCGAGUCCAUCGGCUCAUUUGAAUUCAGAGAGGAUAAACGUUGUCCAGUGCGCUGUUGUGGUGCUCAUCCGGCUUCACAUUUACCGUCUGAAGAAGGUGUCCUACUUUUGUCACCUGGGUGCACGGUGUUUGCUGAAGAACCCCUUCUUGGUUUCGCUCUAUUUAGGUGGACCUGUCGGAAUAAGCGAGAGAUUCAGGUACAUUAAAAUCUACAGUGUCCGUUCGUGUUUGGCUAACUUAAGUCAAGGCAACUAGUGGCUUCAGAGAACACUAACUUCGACCUACUGUCCUCCACUAAUCCAAGUAAAUGUGAUUGGGGUAUACUAGCGAAGGUAGACCGAAUCUACAGCUGCACAAACCCAGGUGAGUAUUUUGAGGUGGAUUAUGGAUAUCCUAAGCGUCUUAGGUCCUUUGACCUUCUUGUGUUCGACGCUGAGGAACUCGUAUGAAAAUCUGUAUUGUUGGUGGAUAUCUCGUGCGACAAUGCAGAAAUCGUUAGCGAAGACCUUCAAUUGGGCGCAGAGCCAUUCAUCUGACUGGUGUUUGAUAGCGAAGACCUUUGAUUGGGCGAAAAGCCGUUAAUCGAAGUGAUGGCUUUCUGACUUCUUUUGAUUUCUCGCAUUUCUCCAAAAUUUCAGGGUUCUCAACUCCCAGACCUUGCGAAUCGUCCGAGUGAGCCACUACCUAUUUGCCUUUUGCUUUGUGAAAACUUCCAAAAGUUCCCCAGAAUGGAAGCUUCAUCUAAGAAAAUAUGAAAAACUUCCGAAA